rnacentral:rRNA from 1 species
GACGAACGCUGGCGGCGUGCCUAACACAUGCAAGUCGAACGGAAAGGCCUGCUUUCCCUUGUGGAUUGCGGGUACUCGAGUGGCGAACGGGUGAGUAACACGUGAGUGAUCUGCCCCCAACUUGGGUAUAAGCCUGGGAAACUGGGUCUAAUUCCCGAUAGGACUGCAGGGUGGUGCCUGUGGUGGAAAACGAUUUUCUAGUGGUUGGGGAUGAGCUCGCGGCCUAUCAGCUUGUUGGUGGGGUAAUGGCCUACCAAGGCGGCGACGGGUAGCCGGCCUGGGAGGGUGGACGGCCACAUUGGGACUGGGAUACGGCCCAGACUCCUACGGGAGGCAGCAGUGGGGAAUAUUGCACAAUGGGCGGAAGCCUGAUGCAGCGACGCCGCGUGGGGGAUGACGGCCUUCGGGUUGUAAACUCCUUUCGACCGCGAGGAAGCCACCUGGUUGGAAGGGUGGUGACGGUAGUGGUAGAAGAAGCACCGGCUAACUACGUG